AUUGAACGCUGGCGGCAGGCCUAACACAUGCAAGUCGAGCGGAUGAAGGGAGCUUGCUUCUGGAUUCAGCGGCGGACGGGCGAGUAAUGCCUAGGAAUCUGCCUGGUUGUGGGGGAUAACGUCCGGAAACGGGCGCUAAUACCGCAUACGUCCUGAGGGCGAAAGGGGGGGAUCUUCGGACCUUACGCUAUCAGAUGAGCCUAGGUCGGAUUAGCUAGUUGGUGGGGUAAAGGCCUACCAAGGCGACGAUCCGUAACUGGUCUGAGAGGAUGAUCAGUCACACUGGAACUGAGACACGGUCCAGACUCCUACGGGAGGCAGCAGUGGGGAAUAUUGGACAAUGGGCGAAAGCCUGAUCCAGCCAUGCCGCGUGUGUGAAGAAGGUCUUCGGAUUGUAAAGCACUUUAAGUUGGGAGGAAGGGCAGUAAGUUAAUACCUUGCUGUUUUGACGUUACCAACAGAAUAAGCACCGGCUAACUUCGUG
rnacentral:rRNA from 1 species